UUAAACGUUUUCUUACUUUCGACUUUGAUCCAAAGUGAGUAAACAAACUUGGUAAAAAUCAAAUCGCUUUUGAGUAGUUUUGGGCGAGUGUGUUCAGUAUGAUUGAACGAUGAAAAAAGAAAAAGACAAAAAAAAUAUUUGCCACUAGCUGUGAUGAUUUUUCGCUCGCUUAAUUUUCUAUUAAUUUCAGUGUUAAUUCAUAAUUAUUUUAGUGUGAAAUAGCGCAUCAGGACGGCUUACACCGAGCCUCACAAACAGGAAGAAAUCCGGUGCUGUGGAACGAUGCGCUCGCCGGUGAAUCGGUUGUACAAUUCGGAUCGAUCGCCGCUGAUAGAUGAGGUAAAUUUGGAAAGCCUUGACAUGUCGGAGAAUCUAGCGGAGUUUGGAGAAUCUGGCUCGAGAAGAAUGGAUUGUGGCUGUGAAUUGUUCAACUAACUUUGGUAGUCAGUUGCGGCAGUGCGCCCCUUCGGAGUGUAGCCGCAUCCGGAAGUGGAGCA